AACGAACGCUGGCGGCAGGCCUAACACAUGCAAGUCGAGCGCCCCGCAAGGGGAGCGGCGGACGGGUGAGUAACACGUGGGAAUUUUCCUCAAGGUACGGAACAACUCGGGGAAACUUGGGCUAAUACCGUAUGAUGCAGAGAUGCCAAAGAUUUAUCGCCUUGGGAUAAGCCCGCGUCAGAUUAGGUAGUUGGUGAGGUAACGGCUCACCAAGCCUGUGAUCUGUAGCUGGUCUGAGAGGACGAUCAGCCACAUUGGGACUGAGACACGGCCCAAACUCCUACGGGAGGCAGCAGUGGGGAAUCUUGCGCAAUGGGCGAAAGCCUGACGCAGCCAUGCCGCGUGAAUGAUGAAGGUCUUAGGAUUGUAAAGUUCUUUCGCUCGUGACGAUGAUGACGGUAACGAGAGAAGAAGCCCCGGCUAACUUCGUGCCAGCAGCCGCGGUAAUACGAAGGGGGCUAGCGUUGUCCGGAUUUACUGGGCGUAAAGGGCGCGUAGGCGGUUCUUUAAGUCGCCGGUGAAAUCGCUCGGCUUAACCGAGCAAUUGCCGGCGAUACUGGGGAACUUGAGUCCGGGAGAGGAGAGUGGAAUUGCCGGUGUAGCGGUGAAAUGCGUA
rnacentral:rRNA from 1 species